GAUAUAUUUGGGCAGCUUAGUAGAUUGCAUAUUACUUGUAGGUAAAAUAAUAAGAGUACGUGGUGGAAACCUGAAGAAAGGGGUAUGGACACCUGAAGAAAACAAUAAACUCUUUACUUAUAUGCAACAACAUGGCCGCCAUGGCAACUGGAGAGACCUCCCUCUAAAAGCCGGGCUUCGAAGAUGUGGGAAAUGCUGCAGAUUAAGAUGGAACAAUUAUUUGAGGCCGGAUAUUAAGAGGGGGAAGUUCAGCUUGCGGGAAGAGCAGACCAUCAUUCAGCUGCAUGCCCUUCUUGAAAACAGUAAAUUAGAUGGUCAGCGAUAGCGGGACACUUACCGAAGAGGACCGACAACGAGAUAAAGAAUUAUUGGAACCCAAAUUAAAUUUAACGAAGAGAUAGCUAAAAUGGCCAGGGAUGACGUGGACAAGUCCCGGAAUAGGCGACAUCAUAACGAAUAACGAUUUUUUCGC